UACGGGGGGGGGCAAGCGUUGUUCGGAAUUACUGGGCGUAAAGGGCGCGUAGGCGGUCGUGACAAGUCACUUGUGAAAUCUCCGGGCUUAACUCGGAACGGUCAAGUGAUACUGUCGGGCUAGAGUACAGAAGGGGCAACUGGAAUUCUCGGUGUAGCGGUGAAAUGCGUAGAUAUCGAGAGGAACACCUGCGGCGAAGGCGGGUUGCUGGGGCUGACACUGACGCUGAUGCGCGAAAGCUAGGGGAGCGAACGGG
rnacentral:rRNA from 1 species